AACGAACGCUGGCGGCAUGCCUAACACAUGCAAGUCGAACGAGACCUUCGGAUCUAGUGGCGCACGGGUGCGUAACGCGUGGGAACCUGCCCUUAGGUUCGGAAUAACUCCCCGAAAGGGGUGCUAAUACCGGAUAAUGUCUUCGGACCAAAGAUUUAUCGCCUUUGGAUGGGCCCGCGUUGGAUUAGCUAGUUGGUAGGGUAAAAGCCUACCAAGGCGACGAUCCAUAGCUGGUCUGAGAGGAUGAUCAGCCACACUGGGACUGAGACACGGCCCAGACUCCUACGGGAGGCAGCAGUGGGGAAUAUUGGACAAUGGGCGAAAGCCUGAUCCAGCAAUGCCGCGUGAGUGAUGAAGGCCUUAGGGUUGUAAAGCUCUUUUACCCGGGAUGAUAAUGACGGUACCGGGAGAAUAAGCUCCGGCUAACUCCGUG
rnacentral:rRNA from 1 species